CGGUUGAUCAUGUGGAUAGAGGAUUGAUAAUGAGUAGAUAUCAUUAUUGACAUUAGACCUUAGAUUAGAUUGAUGCUAGUUGAGAGUGUUAUUGUUGUAUAUGUAUUUUAGAUGCUUGUACCUACCUGAUCUAAACCCACUGAACCUGAUAAAGAUCUUAUCGAUUGAAAUGGUGUGUGUGUGUGUGUGUGUACUGUAUCAGCCAAACACUACAAUACACUGGUCCUUUUAGUCCUAGUCUGGUCCUUUUAGUCCUAGUCUGGUCCUUUUAGUCCUAGUCUGGUCCUUUUAGUCCUAGUCUGGUCCCUUUUAGUCCUAGUCUGGUCCCUUUUAGACCUAGUCUGGUCCUUUUAGUCCUAGUCUGGUCCCUUUUAGUCCUAGUCUGGUCCAUUUAGUCCUAGCCUGGUCCUGAUCUCUUAUAAGACUGUUUUAGCUCCUAUGUUUGUUGUCUAUGUCAUGACAGCCCAAAGGCUUUUCAUCCUAUCUAUGUCAUGACAGCCCAAAAGCUUUUCAUCCUAUCUAUGUCAUGACAGCCCAAAGGUUUUUCAUCCUAUCUAUGUCAUGACAGCCCAAAGGCUAAUGAGUAGAUAUCAUUAUUGACAUUAGACCUUCUUAGAUUAGAUUGAAGCUAGUUGAAG
ensembl:lncRNA